CGGUUGCCGGGGGGAGGGCCGGGAGAGGAGCGCCGGCCGCUCCCUCCGACCGCCGCCGGGGCUCCGCGGGAGCGGGGAGGCGGCGGCGGCGGCCCCCGCGCCGCCCAGGUCUGCUCCCGCCGCUCGGGAGGGGCCCGCCGCGGCGGCCGCCCUGAGCAGCGAGCGCCGCCGGGCUCGCCCGGCGCCUCGUACCGGCCUCGAGGCGGAGAUCUCCCCGCACCGGCUGGCGAGUGCGGGACCCCGGGUCCAGCUGUGGGUGCUCCGGGAUCCCCUCGACCGUGGGCGUGAACCUCGGCCUCCGGAGCCGGCAUAAGCACACCGAGUCUCAGCUCGUCUCUUUUAAACCGCCACUGGUUUCAUUCGCCGUUUUAUUUUCCGCGACUCACGGAGAUCGAGCGCGUGGGAUCGAGAAUACUGCCAGUCACCGGUCCACACGGGCUCCGCCGAGCGUCAACACCCACCAAGUUCCGUACCCCUGCGGAGGCAUGCUCUGCGUCUCCCACUCCCAUCGCGACAGAGGCCACGGUACCGGCUCUGCAAGUAAUACCCACCGAGGCAGGAGACGACGGCACGCCUGGCGUUGCUGCUACCCCCCGCGGGGUUCUCUGUAUCCUCAGUGCUUGUGGCACUGGGUAUUACUGCUAUCUGCUGGGCUUUGUCUUUGUUUUCUGUUAUUUCGCACGUAUUUUUGGCAGGCCAGGCUGGAGGGCGUACGGGCAGAACAAAAGCGUUCCACCCUCGUGAGGGACUGCAGACAACAUACCAACAGAAGGCACUCGCCAGCCCCGAGAAGACCACCCAUCGCAGCGAGACUGACCCAAAGUGGCAAUUAUUGCCUGCUGGUCUCAAUAGCCUUUGUUAUUGGCAGUUCAAAAGCUUUCCUUGUUCUCUCUCAUUCUCCAAGUCUGAAAUCUAAGUCGUCUUUUGUUCCCUGCAUCUCCUGUCUUUGUAUAAAAUAUGGCCUCUCCUGUUACUUACAGCCCAUCGCACUUUGCCGUCUUAUUUUUGGUGUAAAAUGUUGCCAGAUGCCACCUGCCCCUACAUUUUGACUGUGCAGCCCACCUGAUUGCAGAGCCUGGCAAUUUUUGCAAGGAACCAUUCAUGCCUGGGAAGAGAGGGGGCAGAUGACAGCAGCUCACUGCUGUCAGCAGACCUACUGUGGGUCUACAACUUAGAGAAGUUGUACCUACACGGUACAAGACACUCGGGUCCCAUCAGGCUGCAAGCGGGAACUGUAAAUGUAAUCAGAUUGACAGAGGUGGGGCACACCUCUAACUCCAGGGCACAACCCCAGCAUCUCUCCUUCUCCUCCUCCGCCAUCAACCCGGAUCAACUAGUCGCCCGUCUGCCCAACUCCUUGCACUUCACACAGAGGUCACAGUGCAAGGCUGGAAAACGACACACCAACAAGUUGGGAAAUGAGCCAAUAGACCUAAAAGGGAAACAAGAAUUCCUGAUUUCUGACCUAGAAACUGAGCCACGCAGCCUCCCUCUGUCCUGCUUUUCCAUGGCUGGCACAGGAAUUGAAGAUAGAUGGAGGAAGCAGACAACAGCCAGGUUUCUCAACUAUGGAACUAGACCUGCAAGGAGUUUGUGUAAGAUUCAGAUUUUAUCACACAAGUGCUGAUCCAAAUGACACAAAAAAAACCCUGCUUGUAUCUUCAAACUCUUGGAAAAAGCUACAGCUGAAGCUCUUGUAGGUUUUAUCAUGCACAUUACGAUCAAACAUUUUCAAAAAUGGUCAUUGUUUUUGAAUGGCUCCACUUCAAAAUGAGCAUCCGUUUUUCCAGAUCGGUAAAAACGGCCCAAGGCUGGGUAGCACCAGACAUCAGAUCUUGAAGCAUCCAAAAAUCAAAAGAUUAUGUUAGCCUGCAUGUAUACACAAACCACAGUUUAUAUAAACAAUAAGAGAAUUUUGUGUACUUGAUUAGGAAACAUGUUCAUCUUCCAGAGAUACUAACAAUAAAUGAUUUUUAAAAAACUUCUCUGUGGCAGUAAAUGUAUGAAAUGCCACUAAGAUACUUACUUUCCGCUGUAAACAAUUACAGCAGAAACAUUUCCCUACAUUAUUACUCAGCUGGUUUGUUGAACACAUUCUUUUUUCCUUGCAUUUUUGUUUCUAACUCAGCUUGGUAUGAACAGAGACACAUUUUAUGCUGGCACACAUGAAUGAAAAUGUCAUCGAUUCCAGUGGUGCUGGGCCUGCUACUUACUGCCAAACAGCAGGAAUGUGACCCAUAGCACUUUUUUCCAGCUACAUGUGCACCAAAAUCAUUGAUUUGUCAGAAAAUAUAUGAGCAGGGGAUUAUUCGAUGCAACCUUACAACAACUCUAAGCAUAGCCUUUUUUCCACACAGAUUAAAGGGCAGUAUGUGUCCUUUCAACCCUCAGAGAAUUACUAUCCUCAGGAGAUUUUCCAGGAAUUAAAAUUCUCCUGUGAAAAUCUACAUAUUUUUGUAAAAACACAUAAAAAUUUCACCUGCCCCAAAUUAAUCUCUCUUUUAUUCCAUCCACCAGCUCUGUCAGCAACGACUCCCAAGUCCCUUUCAGGGCGGAAGAUGGCAAAGCUCAUGCAGUCUUUCUGCCCGUUACAUUCUUUGGCACAAUCAUCAGUGCUGCCAAUCUCACAGACAAAUGCCAGUUCAAAAAUCAUGAAACAAUCUCGAACAAAAUGGCCAAUACGGGGAAAAAGGGCCUUUCUCCAUCUUGUUUUGAGCUUGGGUCAGGAAGUAAUAAUCCCAUUUGUGUUCAGGAGCCUUCCCUGAAACAGGGAGAAGCACUCCAGCUUUCCUGAGCCUUGGCACAACCGCAGAGGACAGCUAAAUGCUAAAGUUCAGAAUUCAGUUCAAAACAUGAACAUUUCCUGCAUAUCAAGAUGGAAAGCACCAAGACCUGAUUGGAUUUAAGAUGACUGUUUGCAGAAUUAGAAACAAGAAAUCUUUUCUCAUAAUAUAUAAGAGGAAAUCAAUUUAAUCUUAAAGCUGACAAAACCAGAGGUAAUAUUUAUUAAACGAAGUCAGGCUACAGGGAUUCCUGCCACAGCACACUGACGAAAGUUCUGUAUCACCUUCAGUGACAGAAACAUCAGGUUAUACUACUAGUUUGGUUUUGGGGGGCAGGCAUAUUAUUUUUAGCACUUUCAGUGGAUAAUGUUCAAAAAACAAUACUGGCAUGCAUGUGGCAGAAACAGUCUGCCGCUUAUCCCUUCACAGCUAGGGAAAAAGACCUUUACUACACAUUAUUCUACACCCACAGGCAUGGUCUAGGAAAAAGACUAAUAGCUUGGGACUGUAUUACCUUGUCCACAGAACUCCCUCCAGAGAAGAAAAACAUCUCUCAGUGGAGAAUCAAAGGCACUUGCACCCCAGGAAAGCUCUCACAGCUGUACCUCCUGGAAGGCAAAAUUUCCCGGGAUGACAGAUCCAGUCUGAAAACUCCAGAAAACACUGAAGGAUGCCAUUUUACCAGUAGAGCUGUCUGUCAGACCUUGAAGCCAAGAAUCUCAAGUUCCACAUUAACCAAGCCCCAGGGUGGAUCUGAAGGGGGACUCCGCCACUACAUGUUUGAGACUAUCUUUUGGUUAGUUUGUGGCAGGAGGGAAAAUGUGGAGGGUGUCCAAGCAGCGAUCCCUGGGCCUUCCGGACGUAGAGAAGACAGGUGGUCAGAAUAUGACUCUGCAUGACAGAAAGGGAACACAAGAAACAUCCAAUACACCAUUCAGAACGGUGCAUUAAUCAAGCGUUAUGUCCUUAAUGAGUCAUUAGCGAGCAUUAUGAAAAGCGGUGCCAGUGUUUGGAAUUCCUGUUUGUCUCUGAUGAAGCAGAAGUGGGAUCAGCACAGCUCUUCUACGGAAUCCAGCAAGAGGAGAGAACAUCUCCUUCCUCACGACUGACCUUCCCUUCUUGUACACCCGAGAGGCAAAACAAAAAUCUGGGCCAAACAUCCUCUUUUAUCAGCUAUAAAAUCUCUCACUGCAACAUUACAAUUGCACUAAACUACUACAACAUUGUAGUAGUUUGCACAAACAAAAAGCUUGUCAUCUGGGUUACCUCUUAAAGGCAGCGUCAAACUUCAUUCUUCGUGAGAUACUUGUAAAAGCUCCAGGGAAAAGGGCUAGAGACAGUAAACAACAAUUUUAUAUGACUAAUCCUAUGCUGGGUAAAAAGACCAUCUGCAUGGAUUCCCUCUAAAGUGCUUUAAUAACUGCGCUGCAAGCCUCUGGCUGUCGUGCUGAGGAAAUGCUCUUUUGCACUCAGGCUAAUAAUUCCAAAAGAUUACUUCCUUUUUCUCCCCCCCACCCCACCCUUUUUAUUAAAGCUGUUAGCCACUUGCUCUCCCGUUUAAUUCCCUAUUAAGAGAUCAUCCAUCAAACCCGUGAAGUGACAAGGAUCCGCACUGGAAGACAUCUGUGGAUUCCACGUUGAUGGCCAGCUAGCUACAGAAAGGUCACCCUCCCUCUGCAAAAACUACAACCGAUUUUAUUGCAUCACUGCAGUGUGUAAUUACUGUCGAAGAAGAGAAUGGCAAACUGUCGGCUGAGGUGUAAUUAAACCAAUUUCAGCUGCAGCAGCUUCCUCUCCGAGUGACCCUGCUUUUUGCACCGCAGACUGCAAUGGGGAUCUCCAGGUGGCACGCAGAGCAGCCGCACCGAUGAACGCUGCGCAGCGGUUUAGGACAGGAAGGGGACUGCCACCUCCAGCUGAGCCACACCUAAGUCAAUAAGGGCUUCACACCCUGGGAGAGAAGGAGAUCCACAACUACAAUCUGUUUUCUGCUCAGAGGUCAGAGGGAGCAGGUUCUCCCCUCUGCUGAGAGAUUGUUGUCUCAGGGAAGGAAGUCCAACCCCUACGUGAAUCUGGUCGGGGCUCAGAAGGAUUCAGACAGAUGAAGCACUUGAGAAACACCAGUAUUUCAGGCUCAUCCAGGACGAGCCUAUUCCAAGUGGAUGAGAUUAAACACGUGGUGUGUGUGUAGGUUACGAAAGGCAUACAAGAGGAACUGGCUAGCGUUUGGGGUUAUGAAAGAUCAGAGGUUACGAAAGACCUUGGCAGUUAUGAAAGAUGAGCUGAGAUCUGAUCCAGCAAGGCAGAAAGCAGCCUUGACCUGCUCGGUGGUGAACCGAUGUUCAAAAUCACCCAGCAGCUCACAGGAGGAAGCUCACACUGCCUGGCGGGUCUAGGUUAAGGAAGGCUUGAAAAAACUUCAGAACAGUAAUAAGAAAACAGUUGUCACAGACUAGGAGAAUGAUGAAGAGAAAUAUUCCCAUCUGCUUAUAGACCUUACAGGCAGCUGUAUUUUUUUGCAAAGUAUUUUGAAGGGUCUUAAAAUACUAGCUGCAGCCACUGAUUUUCUAAGAAGUACUCUUUCCUGGCCUUUUAGUGCUAUUUUAAAUCUUCUACCUGCAUGAGCCACAUAGCUGGAACGAAUCUGUAAAAACCGAGGGUUCAUUCCGUUGGUAUUUUAGCCUCUCAAGUUCAGCCUUUGGCAAUCCUUUUACUAAUAUUCUACCACCAGAACGAAGAGAAGGCUGGGGAAAUUUUACUGCGCCAGAUGGAGUUGCUUCUUUCCCAAAUGCCACUCAGACGUCACUUAGAAAGAGGACAUACUCCUGCUUAGAAAAAUAUUGAGGAGAGCACUUCCCCCUCUUUGCAACAGUGUUUCUCUGUGAUGAUGAUUUUCUACAGUUACCUUCAGUGAGAAUAUUUCUGCAUCCUGCCUACACUAUCAUUCACACUGCCCUGUUUUCAAAACACGAGUUAAACAGACCUUUCAAGUGCCCCUGUGGCUGCCUAAUCACAACAAACGUCCAGGCAUUGCAGCAGACCUGAGACACAAGGGAGGAAACCAUCUGCUCUACAUCAGUAUAAUAUUUAGCCGGUUUCAGCAAAAGGUAUAGACUGCUUUACUGUUGGCCAAUUCAGUAACUAAAACUUCCUCUUUCAAGGAAAAACACAGAAAACACUUUUAUCGUGGUCUGAGAUGCUUCCUAGAAUGCAAAGCCAUGGUUAGCCGUAGAUUUCCUUAUUUACUGAAGUUAAAGCUGUUUUUACUACAUCUCACCAGUACACACAUCUCACCAGUAAAUCUGUUUACCUGUCUGCCACAGCACAGAAACUCUGUAAGGGAAGGUCCUGAAGCCACCUCAAGCCAUGCUGAGCAUGGCAUCAAUAAAAAGCACAAAUUCUAAAACCUGGAGGAAACUGAGAUUAAGGAAAAAUCCAGAGCAAUUCUGUUCCAUACUAUUCCAAAUUAUACUACAUGUUCAUAGGGUUAUUGCACUUAAUGAAACUAACCUUACGUGAGGACAAAACAGAUACGAGGUUAUAGGAAAUGAGUGACUUAGAAGCAGAAUAAUUAGUCAGCAGAAGGAUUGACAAAUGUUUGGUGAGGAUUUCUUCCAACCAAAAUUUCAUAAUUUCAUACUUUAAACAAACUUUAAAACUUCUGGUAUUAGUUUCACCUUCUCAGGGUUUGUUACUGUUUUUUCUGACUCAAAAUGGGGACUAGAAAACGUUUUGCUAAGUAGACCGACGGCCUUGCCGUCUUUGUGCUAUCCACUGCCACAGCACAGCUUAGAAAUUUAAAGAAUGAAGUUGAACUCUUGCACUACAAUCUGUGAAGUUUUGUCACUUAUCUUAGAAGGAAAAUGUCCAAGCCUUUUAUUUAAAAAAGUGUCCAUCGUUUUUGUGAACUACCUAUGGCAGGAGUGUUAUGUCCCUCUCAUCCCAAAGUCACCUGUGUCCUACAAGAUAAACAACUAAAUAAAAGAAAAUAGAUCUAGACUUAGGGUCUGUUAGCUUAGAUAGAAUACCCAAGCCAAUUAAACUUUGCCUAGUCCAUAGAAAAUCAACAAUUAAUUUUGUGUUCACAUCAGAGAUAGUCAGUGGUAGUGUUAUGAAAUUUUCGUAAUGCAAAUAUGGUCACCACUAAAGCAUCUCUAUUCCGUUCCUCAAAGGUCACUGAAAAUGAAACCUUUGACCACCAAGCAGGUGCUGAAAGACAGUAACAAAUUUCAGAGACCUGAUGUAUUUAAUGCCUUUUUCAAAAACCUACGCUGACGGACUCAAUCCCGGGCUCUCUUUUGUCCCGUUCAAUGCCAAGCAUGCAUCAGAACAGGCUGUUUGGAAAAGCCUCCCUUUGGCAGAUCAAGUGUACGCUCCCAACACUCACUCGCUGUUGUAAGUACUACAGACUGGUUGCUCUACUGUGUCAGUACGUAUUCAUUGCAGGCCACCCUUCUUCUACAAGGUGGACCUAGAAUCAGAAUCGCUCGGCUGUCUGCCACCGGUGCCCUGCUCUGCUGCCUCAAAUGCACGGUAAUUUGGCUUACGUGGUUUCUGGAACAGUAGGUUCUUAAUUCUCUGCUUCUCACCCUUGACAAAUCCAAAAUUACUUACAAAGACAAGUGAAAAAUCUAAAGGGCAAAGUAUUUGUUACCAUACACUUGAAUUCCCAAGCACUAGCACGCUGCCGAAAUUAAAAAUCUGCUCAACUGCC